CUUAGAGCCUUUUCCUGGCUCAGGAUGAACGGGGGCGGUAUGCUUAACACAUGCAAGUCGAACGGUGUCUUCGGACAUAUUUCCUGACGGGUGAGUAACGCGUGAGAAUCUAGCUUCAGGUCUGGGACAACCACUGGAAACGGUGGCUAAUACCGGAUGUGCCGGAAGGUGAAAGGCUUGCUGCCUGAAGAUGAGCUCGCGUCCGAUUAGCUAGUAGGUGGGGUAAGAGCCUACCUAGGCGACGAUCGGUAGCUGGUCUGAGAGGAUGACCAGCCACACUGGGACUGAGACACGGCCCAGACUCCUACGGGAGGCAGCAGUGGGGAAUUUUCCGCAAUGGGCGAAAGCCUGACGGAGCAAUACCGCGUGAGGGAGGAAGGCUCUUGGGUUGUAAACCUCUUUUCUCAGGGAAGAACACAAUGACGGUACCUGAGGAAUCAGCAUCGGCUAACUCCGUGCCAGCAGCCGCGGUAAUACGGAGGAUGCAAGCGUUAUCCGGAAUGAUUGGGCGUAAAGCGUCCGCAGGUGGCUGUGUAAGUCUGCUGUCAAAGAGCAAAGCUCAACUUUGUAAAGGCAGUGGAAACUACACGGCUAGAGUGCGUUCGGGGCAGAGGGAAUUCCUGGUGUAGCGGUGAAAUGCGUAGAGAUCAGGAAGAACACCGGUGGCGAAGGCGCUCUGCUAGGCCGCAACUGACACUGAGGGACGAAAGCUAGGGGAGCGAAUGAGAUUAGAUACCCCAGUAGUCCUAGCUGUAAACGAUGGAU
rnacentral:rRNA from 1 species